rnacentral:rRNA from 1 species
GUGCCAGCAGCCGCGGUAAUACGUAGGUGGCAAGCGUUAUCCGGAAUUAUUGGGCGUAAAGCGCGCGUAGGCGGUUUUUUAGGUCUGAUGUGAAAGCCCACGGCUCAACCGUGGAGGGUCAUUGGAAACUGGAAAACUUGAGUGCAGAAGAGGAAAGUGGAAUUCCAUGUGUAGCGGUGAAAUGCGCAGAGAUAUGGAGGAACACCAGUGGCGAAGGCGACUUUCNUGGUCUGUAACUGACGCUGAUGUGCGAAAGCGUGGGGAUCAAACA